rnacentral:sRNA from 1 species
GACCUAACCCCUGCGGUGUAGCCUCAGGAUAUGGUCAGAAAUCCCGCUAGAGAAUAAAAGACUCCUCGUCAGAGUCGCUCUAGCGGGUCACGUCUCGAAAGAGAUGUGGGUGGGGCCGAAAGGUUCCAUC